rnacentral:ncRNA from 2 species
UACUUUUUGUAAGUUUCAGGUGUCCAUAUUGGGCAUAAAAGGGAAUCCCGUGAGAGUCGGGAGUGGGCCCGCCGCUGUAAUCAGGUACGUCGAACGCAAUAUUGCCACUGACAUUUAGUCGGGAAGGUGCGUUCAGACGGAUGAUCUGUAAGCCAGAAUACCUGCCUGAAAUAUAGUUUGUCA